GUGGGGAAUAUUGGACAAUGGGCGAAAGCCUGAUCCAGCAACGCCGCGUGAGGGAUGACGGCCUUCGGGUUGUAAACCUCUUUCAGCAGGGACGAAGCGAAAGUGACGGUACCUGCAGAAGAAGGACCGGCCAACUACGUGCCAGCAGCCGCGGUAAUACGUAGGGUCCGAGCGUUGUCCGGAAUUAUUGGGCGUAAAGGGCUCGUAGGCGGUCUGUCGCGUCGGGAGUGAAAACUCAGGGCUCAACCCUGAGCGUGCUUCCGAUACGGGCAGACUAGAGGUAUGCAGGGGAGAACGGAAUUCCUGGUGUAGCGGUGGAAUGCGCAGAUAUCAGGAGGAACACCGGUGGCGAAGGCGGUUCUCUGGGCAUUACCUGACGCUGAGGAGCGAAAGCAUGGGGAGCGAACAGGAUUAGAAACCCCGGUAGUCC
rnacentral:rRNA from 1 species